UUAAUGUCCUCAACUACAAGGACACUGGGGAGAGAGGCACUCAUGUCCUUAAAGGAUAUUUUAGGGAAAUUUAAUUAAGGUUCCAGGAACCUCUCAGUAGUUUUUUCUUCUAAAGUUAUUAAUUUAUUUUGUUUUUAUAUUGUUUUAUUUUAUUUUUUUUAUAUUAUUUAUUUUAUUUAUUUUUAUUUAUUUUAUUUAUUGUUUUUUUUUUCCCCUUACAAGUUCACCCCCUUAAAGUAAAUAUUUCCAAUUUUUAAAUAAGCCACAAAGCCAAAAAUAAAAUAAAUAGUCAAACAUGGCAUCCGGGUGGUGUUUAUUCGAAUUUGCAUUUCCACAAAAUAUCAUUCUUCCAUUUACACAGAAAAAAAAAAAUCAAAUAAACAAAUAAGAAAUAAAGGGGGGAAAACAUAAAAUAAACACAAAAUAAGUGCAGACACAAAAUAAAAUCGAACACAAACAUCGAAUGCCCUUAGAAUAAACUGUGAAAUUGUAAAACUCAUUAAAAUGACAAUGGAAUAAAUAAAUAUUAUUGACUUUGGUUUAUUGGUUGUGGAUCGAGCCUGCGACUGGCAGGACUAUUAUGGAAAUUAAUUAAAUUACGCACAGAUAUGGAUACUAGAUGGGCAGAUACGAGGAUAAUUGCCAGUUCAGGACCAGAAUAUAAUAACUAGAUAUUAUUAAGCAUUAUAUUUGAGUUAAAUGGCUCGAAAUGAGAAGGAAGUUGCCCCCAUUAAAGGGGUAAACUGUUGCUAAGCCCCCCAAAAGGGUUCCUUGGCCCCCAAAGGCAAACACCGGGGCCAUGGCUAAUAGUGUGAAAACAAAGCAAGGACCUCCACGAAACUGAAACCCAAAAGAGAGCCCACCAACAAGGCCACAAAGGACAACAAAAAAAAUAAGAAAUAUAGAAGAAAAUAUCGUAAAAUACUAAGCGUAAAAUAUAAAAAAAUGUUAUUAGCAUUAAGAAAUGGCCAAGUGUCUUACACACAAGUACAGUAACAGGAAUGCGGCUGGAGAAUGGCAGGAAACAGCAGGGAUCGCCACUAAAAACUGAAAGCGAACCAAAAUUUAACCAAUUUAUGGACUAAGCCCUCCUAAAACACUCUAUAAAGGCCUAUAAUAAUAGAAUGUCAAUGAAAAUGAUAUUAUUCGGUAAUAAGGCGAGGACGUAACAUAAGAAAAUUGUGAUUCCGCCGUAA